rnacentral:lncRNA from 1 species
CUCCCUCCUCUUCUCCUCGCAGAGCUGUAUGCCCAUUACCUGAGGGGACGGAAUCCAAGCAUGGGUCAACAAUAAGGCAACAGGCUGGGGAUCGCACAGCUUCCUGGCUGUUAGGUCAAGAGGUGUAAAUGAGACAAUGAGGAUGAAGUAUUGAGCACAGAAUCUGGGACGUGGUAAACCCUCCUUGUUAGUAUCAUCCAUUCAUUUAUUCAGUGGACACGUAUUAAGCACCUGAAUGUUCAGACACUGCAGAUUCAGCAGGGAACAAGAUGGAAAAAGUCUCUGCUCUUAAGAAGCUUAUG